rnacentral:rRNA from 1 species
UACGUAGGUGGCAAGCGUUGUCCGGAAUUACUGGGCGUAAAGGGCGUGUAGGCGGCCUUUUAAGUCAGACGUGAAAACCCUGGGCUUAACCCAGGAACUGCGUUUGAAACUGGAGGGCUUGAGGACCGGAGAGGGUAGUGGAAUUCCCAGUGUAGCGGUGAAAUGCGCAGAUAUCGGGAAGAACACCCGUGGCGAAGGCGGCUCUCUGGAACGCAACUGACGCUGAGACGCGAAAGCGUGGGGAGCAAACAGG